rnacentral:lncRNA from 1 species
UCCCCGCCUCGUCUCGUGCUGCGCUGGCCGGAAGGAAGCGGCACACUUCCGCUUGCCUGGUCCGCAUUGAGUCCGGUCUGUUCCGGAGACUCUGAGCGCGGCCGCGGAGCUGCAGUGGCGGGGAGUGGGGUGCGGAUCUUGUGUUUGCGCACGCAGUCGCCGGCCACCUCAGGCCGGAGCUAGAGAUACGGCUCGGGAUAGGAGGGCCCGGCGGCUCUGAGGCAGGUUCGCCUCGAGCCGCACGGCCCGGAGCAGCGGCUCCGCGGUGGUCCCCGGGGCUUGAGAGGGGUGCGGGCCUGGGAGCCCCUGAGGGCCUGAUUUACGGAACUCCCCCUCCUUCCUCCUUUCUGCCGUUCCCUGCUCUGUGGCGGAUGCGCAGGGAUCAGUAGGGACGGCAGCAGUAGGGCCACUCGGGCCUGCCCCGCUUCCCGCAUUGCCCGGUUUGGCGCGCCGCCUCCGGGCCUUGGCAAAGCCCCAGCGCCCGAUUGUCACUGACCAGUGCUUGGAAGUCCUUUACCGACUGCCCGUCAGCGUCCCGCGGAGAGGAUUUUGCGUCUCCAAAGACGCCCCUCUUCCGAAAACAGGCUCCUCUGUGUUCUCAGUCGGGUAUAUUUUUCUGUCUCCAAACUAGAUUGGCAGCCGUUUUUUGAGAGCAGGUACUGACUGUGCUUUAUUUCUAGAUACUUUUCUUAGUCACACCACGGAAAACACUAGGUGGAACCUUUUUUAAAAUUAUUUUUUACAGGUGAGGCUCUCAGUCUGUCGCCCAGGCUGGAGUGCAGUGGUGCUAUCACGGCUCACUGCAACCUCGGCCUCCUGGGCGCAAGCGAUCCUCCCGCCUCAGCCUCCGGAGUAGCUGGGACCACAGGCUCGCACUACUAUGCCCAGCUAAUUUUUAAAUUUUUCGUAGAGAUGGGGGUCUUGCUUUGUCGUCCAGGCUGGAGUGCAGUGGUGUGAUCGUAGCUCACUGCAACCUUAGUCCCCUGUGCCCAAGUGACCCUGCUUCCUCAGCCUCCUGAGUAGCUGAGAUUCAUUUUAAUUUUUAUAGUGAUGGGGUCUCGUUGUGUUGACCAGUCUGGUCUAAAACUCCUGAGUUCAAGCAGGCCUCCUGCCUCAGCUUCUCAAAAUGUUGGGAUUACAGGCUUUAGCCACUGCAGCGGGCCCAUCAAACGUUGUAUUUGUCAGUACAUAAUUUACAUGUUAAUUGAUUUUUGUUAAAGGGAUGGCCAUCUGGGACCUCCACCCGUGAAAAGGCGGCUCAUUGGUCUGACUCCAACACUAAAUUACGCCAUCCAGGAAGCCUUUCCUAGUCACCUCUGUUGGAGAUCGUCCUCCUUUGUGUGUCGGUUGUUAGUAAAGAGCACACGUUCUGUGGAAAGAUGUUGAGGUAUCUGCUGGAUGGCUUUGAUAGAAACAAAUGUCAGCUGUUUUUUCAGAUGGCAUUUGUCUUGUUUCAGCCUGGUUGUUGGUAGCUUUUCUGUCGCCUGGCUUGAGGGCAAGGACUGUAUGUUUAUUUUUCACGUUAAGAUGCCUUUAUGUGCAUGUGUCUGUUUCAUGAAUACAUAGGUGAAUUGAGUUCCCCUUAAAUAGGAUUUCCCUCUUAUUUUAUAGGUUUUUUUUUUUCUCUCAAGUUGUUUCACUCUGGGGGAAAUGUGACCAUUGUGAAAUAUCAUCGCUUAGUUAAAAAGAAAGUAGAAUUCAGCAGUAGCUGCUUUUUUUAAUACUAUGAAAAGACAUUCCUAAGCAAGAUGAAGCUUUGAGACUUUUCCUAAGUAGGACCUACUGCUGAGAGUAAGUCUUGGGGAGAAUAAGCCAAUUAAGAAUGAGUCUUUGGUUCUGAUAAAGUAACCAUGGAGGUGAUGGAUAAUGAGUGUAGGUCCUUGCUCACACUUCUGGCCAUAUGAGCCCGGAGCCAGGGAGGUACUAUAAAAGGAAUGGGCUCCUGUAAUGGACUGUGACUGCAGUGGUGGUAUAUAGCAAGACUUCCGGUUUGCAGUAGGUUUAGAAGCCUAAAUAGUCUCCCUGGUUGUCUCUGCCAGGGCCACAAAUAGUUGUGCUGUGCAUCUCAAAAGUGUGGUCUGGGGAUCUGCAGCGUCACUGUCACCAUCACUUGGGAGGUUGUUAAGAAAUGCAUGUUAUCAGGCCCUACCCCACGCCUACUCAAUUUAGAAUCUGUAGGGCUAGGGGACCACUAAUCUUUAAGAAGUUGAUAUGGUUAGGCUUUAUGUCCACACCCAAAUCUCAUCUUGAAUUGUAAUUCCCAUAAUCCCCACCUUUCAAGGGAGAGACCAGGUGGAGGUAAUUGAAUUAUGGAGGCAGCUUCCCCCAUGCUGUUCUCAUGAUAGUGAGUUCUCACAAGAUGUGAUGGUUUUAUAAGGGGAUCUUGCCUCUUCGCUCAGCACUUCUUCCUGCCUCCUUGUGAGGAAAGUGCCUUGCUUCCCCCUUUGCCUUCUGCCAUGUUUGUAAGUUUUCUGAGGCUUCCCCAGCCAUGCUGAACUGUGAGUCAAUUAAACUUCUUUCCUUUAUAAAUUACCCAGUCUUGGGCAUUCUUUGUAGCAGUAUCCUUUAUAGCAGUAUGUAUAGCUGUAUGGACUAGUACAGAAGUUUUCCAGAUAAUUCUGUGCUCGGAAAAGUUUGGGAACCACAGCAGAACCUUGUUACUCAACAUGUGGUCUGUGGGCUGUGCAGCAUGGGCAUCACCUGGGGUCUUCUGAGAAAAGCCAGGUCUCAGGUCCUACCCAAGACCUGUGUAGCCAAAAUCUGCAUUUUAAUAUGACCCCCAGGUCAUUUAUGUGUACAUCACACUUUGAGAAGCACUGCACCAGAAAUCUUUUAACACUGUUCAUUACAUCCAUCCCAUGGAAGUAUCUUGUCUUGGGAUCCCGAGGGUGUGAGUUCUUCCGUCUUACUGGCUUUUUCCUGUCUGAUACAUGAUGUCCAUUUUAAAAAUUUUAUUUAUUUUAACUUUUUGAGGUAGAGUCUAACUUUGUCACCCAGGCUGGUGUGCAGUGGGGUGAUUUCGGCUCACUGCAACCUCCGUCUCCCGGAUUGAAACGAUUCUCCUGUCUCAGCCUCCUGAGUAGCUGGCAUCACGUGCUGGCCACCACGCCCGGUUAAUUUUUGUAUGUUUAGUAGAGACAGAGCUUCACCAUGUUGGCCAGGCUGGUCUCAAACUUCUGAUCUCAAGUCAUCCACCUGCCUUGGCCUCCCAAAGUGCUGGGAUUACAGGUGUCCUCCACUGCGCCCAGCCCAGUGUUCAUUUUUCAAUUGUUUGACUUAGUAUAAACACUCUCCAUCAUUCCUGCCUUCUGUGACAACAGACUGUGCGUGUUUCCUCUGUCUACCUUUCAGGCAUUCCUUUUAAGUUUCAUGCAGCUACUCCUCCUCCCUCCUCCCUUCUCUUUCUCUUCUUUCUUCUUUUCUUCUUUCUUCCUCUUCCUUCUUCUUCCUCUUCCUCCUGUUCUUCCUCCUCCUCCUCUCUUCUUUCUUCUUCUCCUCCCUUCUCCCUUUUUGGAAAGAGGACUUACUGUGUCAUCCAGCCUAGAGUGCAGUGGCUGAAUCAUGGCUCAGUGCAGCCUUGCUCUCAAAGGCUCAAGCAAUCCUCCCAUCUCAUCUUCCAGAAUAGCUAGGUUACAGGCAUGCACCACCAUGCCUGACUAAUUUUUUAAAAAUUUUUUUGUAAAGAUUGGGGGUGGCAGGGGGUCUCUCUGUUGCCCAGGCUGGUCUCAAACUCCUGGGCUGCAGCGAUCCUCUUGCCUCAGCCUUCCAAAUUGUUGGGAUUACAGGCAUGAGCCACCAUGCCUGGCCUCCUCUUCCUCUUAAAAAUCAAUGAUUCUGUGGCCCGUGGAUCUGAUUUCCACUGAUACUCUGAUAACUCCUGUUUUUAUGUCCAGGUGUAUCUCCUGGUCUCCAGGUGCCAUAUGUCCACUGCCUAUUGGACAUUUCCAUGUGUGUAAACACCUCAAACUCAACAUGUUAAACCUUUUUCUAAUCCCCACACUUGCGGUUCCUUCUGUGUGCUCCAUUUACCUUAUUGCUCAAAUCAAGAGCCUAGAAGCCAUCCUUGAUUCCUCUCUAUUGUGUAAUCCACACAUCCAAUCAUCCAUUGAGUCCUGUUGGCAUUUAUCUCGUAAAUACCUCAGAUCUUGUUCACUUUGCUCAUCUCUGUUGCCACCACCGUAGUCCAUUUACCUGUAUGUAAUAACCAUAGUGAUCUUACUAAAAUAUAAAUCCCUUGGAGGCGUUUUGGCUUUAUUAUAAAAAUUAAGCUCCAUGACACAGCUUGUAAGGACUGCCACGAAUCAGGCUCUGUUUCCCUCUUCAACCUCUCCUUCACUUUCUAUUCACAUAAACCUCUGUCAGAGGUUUGUCACGUGGCUUAUAAAAAGUCUUAAACCCUCUUUAAUUGACUAGGUACUCUUCAGCCUUUAGACCUCAGCUUACACGAUCUGUGCUGCCUCAUGUUUAUCCUCAUACAGUAUCCGGUUCCACAGAAUCAUGGUUUUUCUUUGUGAACAACAGAAUACCGUGGAAGUGACAGUGUGGGACUUCUGAGGCUAAGUCAUAAAAGACAUCCCAGUUUCAGCCUUAGCCUCUCUUGGAUUGCUCACUUAGCGGGGAUGCCAGCCACCAUGUAGUGAGGACACUCAAACUGCCUGUAGAGAAGGCCACGUAGGCAACAGCCUGCACCACCUUGGCAGCCAUGGGAGUGAGCCAUCUUGGAAGUAUUAGGUUGGUGGGACAUUAAAAGUAAUGGCAAAAACCAAGAUUACUUUUGCACCAACCUAAUAGAUCGGCCAGCUACAGGUCAGCCUUCAGAUGGCGGCAUAAGAGAUCUUGGGCCAGAAGUGCCCAUCUAUGCCACUCCCAAGUAUUUGACACACAGAGACUAUGAGGAUAAUAAAUGUACAUUGUUUUUUUAAGCCACUAAGUUUUGGGGGUAAUUUUGUACAAUGAUAGAUAACCAAUACAAUAUCCACCGUAUGUAUGUGUUACGAUUUAUUUAUUCCCAUCUAGUUGGACAUCUAGGUUGUUUCUAGUUUUAUGCUAUUUCAGGGAAUGCUGUAAGAACAUACUUAUAUUUAUGUAACUCUUUAGGAUGUAUUUCUGGAAACAGGGUUGUUGGAAUUCAUAUUCUUUUUUUUUUUUUUGAGACAGAGUCUCACUCUGUCGCCCAAGCUAGAGUGCAGUGGCGCAAUCUUGUCUCACUGCAACCUCUGCCUCCCAGGUUCAAGCGAUUCUCCUGCCUCAGCCUCCUGAGAAGCUUGGAUUACAGGCACCCGCCAUCAUGCCGGGCUAAUUUUUGUCUUUUUAGUAGAGAUGGGAUUUCACCAUGUUGGCUAGGCUGGUCUUGAACUCCUGACCUCAAGUGAUCCACCCGCCUCGGCCUCCCAAAGUGCUGGGAUUACAGUUGUGAGCCACCAUGCCCAGCCCUAGAACUCAUAUUCUAAAUUGUGAUAAACAUUGGUAAACUACAUUCCAAAAAGGUUAAAGAUUCUAUUGUUUUUCUCUUCCACCAGUGGGUAUUAUGACACUUAUUUCUCCAUGCCAUUGCCAACAAUUAGUUUUUAAAUCUUUGCCAAUCUUAGGUGACAAAUAAUACAUGAUUAGUGUGCAUUCUUUAUUAAUGAGGUGAAGACAAUAUAUCAGGAGUUUAUUGGCUAUUUGCAUUUCUUUUGUAUAAUUUGUCUUUUUGUGUUCUUUCACCAUCUAUUUAAUCUUGCUGUGACGGGAUUAUUUAUAGAUUAUGAGUUUUUUUUGUUUUUGUUUUCGAGACAGGGUCUUGCUCUGUUGCCCAGACUGGAGUGCAGUGGCGCCAUCUCAGCUGACUGCAGAUUCAACCUUCUGAGCUCACGAAAUCCUCCCAUCUCAACCUCCUGAGUAGCUGGGACCACAGAGUAAGUUUCAUCGUGGAUUAUGGUUAAAGACAAGUGCUGAUUUGGUUUUCCUACCUGAUCACGAGGCCACUCGAUAGAACUAGUAAGCUAUGCCUUGGGCCUGCAGGAUGGCACCUGACUUGAAGAUAGCACCUGACUUGAAGAUGGCACCUGACUAGCAUUUGGACUGGUUUGCAGGCUGAGCACAGGGUUGCUCCAGGUGGGCCCAAAUGCUGAAGAGCCUCAUGUUAGAGUUUUUCACCUCUGCGAUGGAACUGUGGUGGACUCCAGUAUCAUCAUUCCAGGGAGGCAUAGCCGCACCAACUGUGUUCCCAGGUUUCACAUGGAGAAGGGUUUUAGAAAGUGCAGAUAGCCUUGAAACCAUUGGUUUCCUACCACUGUUUAUUUCAGCAUAACUUUUUUUGUGUGGAAUGCUAGCUCUGGAAGAGCAGAAAUAAAUACAGCUUAAGCUUUGAACCAUA